rnacentral:lncRNA from 1 species
CGGGUUAGGGGGAGGGUUGGGAUCCCGCUAACAUGUUUAACCCCGCCACAUUAUUUAUGUAUGUGCCUGUCCCAAGUCAGGAGCCUGUAAUUCAGUGGUUGUCGUUUGUUUAUGUGUUACAUAUUUGUUUUUCGUUCAUUUUUUAUGCCCCACCUACGAUAGUAGAGGGGCAUUAUGUUUUCUGGUCUGUGCGUCCGUUCGUCCGUUCGUUCGUUCGUUCGUUCGUCCGUUCGUCCGUCUGUCCCGCUUCAGGUUAAAGUUUUUGGUCGAGGUAGUUUUUGAUGAAGUUGAAGUCCAAUCGACUUCAAACUUGGUACACAUGUUCCCUAUGAUAUGAUCUUUCUAAUUUUAAUGCCAAAUUAGAGUUUUGACCCCAAUUUUACGGUUCACUGAUAGAAAAUGAUAGUGCAAAUUUCAGGUUAAAGUUUUUGGCUUCAGGUUAAAGUUUUUGGUCAAGGUAGUU